UAUAUAGAACAUAACUUCAGAAAAAUAAAAUAAAAGGGCUAUGUUUGCCGACGAAAUAUGCCUGUCCUUGGUAAAAUUACUAUUUGCGAUGAAACUAAUUUCCUCGGUAAAUAGGCUAUACCAACAAAAUUAUAAAAUUCCUCGGUAGAUAGUGCAAUUUUUGGGGAGAAUUUGAACAAAUUCGUCUGCACUAGUUUUGGUGCCCCCAAUCCCACCACACGGUCCCGCCAGUCCUCAAAUGGGAAAAUAAAUGAAAAUACAAUUAUUUUUCUCCUUUCUCUUCAUUUUUCAUCUCUUUAUUUUUCUUUUGCAAUACUUUGGGGUUUUCGACUUUCUCGGUGACCUUUCUCUUCACCUUUAUGGGUUUGCAUAUGCUUCACCUUUCUCUUUAUUUCCACCGCAAGUCAAAACAGCAGCUCUUUGCAUCUCCAAAGGUAGUCAAUCUUCUGGACGUUUGUACCGUUCUGGUUGUUGCCGUUCGGGUCGCCUAUCAGGUUGUGAAAAUUGCAAGGAUGGAGAAUUUUUUGCACCAACUACCUACAAAAAUGCAUUGCGGGUGCUGCAUGCUAUGCAGCUUCCAGAGCCUGUUCUAUUGGAAGGUAGCCCAGGUGUUGGGAAAACUAGUUUAGUUGUUGCAUUAGGCAAGUUUUCUGGUCAUAAGGUUGUAAGGAUAAACUUGUCUGAGCGGGUUUGUAAUUUCCAUUAUUUGAACCAUACAACAUGAAAUCUGGGUCCGACCGGGAGCUGGCUCAGAAGUUAGAGAUGCAGAAAGAGAGUGAGAGUGAGGGAUCACAAAUGAUGAUGUAGUCUUCUUCACUUUCCUUUUGGGACUGGGAUGCCUUUUGGGACUUGUGAAGCCAAGAUCCUUCAACUGGGUUCAACCCAAAUGGAUGGUUCUUGGGAUAACACUAACAAUGCUUGGUGUAAGAGUCACACACACCUCUGCAUUUUGAUUGUAAAUACCAAGCCAAAUUCAUCCAGGCUCAAUAGUCAAGCCCAUGGUCACUUGCUUGGAUUUUUAGCUUUUGUUAUACGAAAUAGUACUAUUAUGAUUCCUCGUAUAUUUUAAUGUAUUCUUGUCAGAAUCAAAAUGGCUAAAUAAGCUCUUUAGAGGGGGUGGCUAGUCGGUGAGUUGUUGGGCUAGACCACUAGCAUAGGUGAGAAAUUUUAAUAGUAUACUUGUAAACCUCUCUUCUGUUCUCUCCAUUGGGACUGAAUAAAAUGAACGCAUUUCCAUUCAAUUGUGUUGUUGCCUAGUUUGCUUUUCCUUUUUCUAAUCAUUGUGAUUACAUGCUUUAUUGCUUACUUGGUACUUGCACAAUACUAAUAUCAUGUGCGUUAUUUGCUUAUGAGGGACAUUAAUGGUUAGCUUACUACCUGCGAGGGGCGAGUAAGCACUGCACGGCCCCGUUGCACACCUAGAAUGGUGGGACCGUGACAGUUGGUAUUAGAGCAGGGUUGGGAGUCACUCGCACAAGAUACCAAAGCUGACAAACGAAAUGCGAUUCGAUACCAUCAAUCAGCAACUCGGGGAGCUUGCUGGCGUGGUAGAUGCACAUAUCAAAGGCCACAACUAGCAGGAGGUCUUUGAAAAGAUGGAGACAAUCGAUGACAUAGCUAGUCGAGUGAGUGCACUCGAGAGGAAACAAACCCCAUGGGGGAAUACUGGCCCUUCGAGCUCUGCUGAGGGUGAGCGAGAUGGAGUCGUGGAAGAGGCCAUAGAUAGCCUAAUGGGUAUGGUGAACGACUUGAAGGAGGACUUUCGAGCCACUGUGGAAGCAUGAAAAUGGAAAUGGGGUGAAUAAAUACAAAGCUCGCCCUGACCAUGCGGGCAGUAGAAAAUCGACCACUGCCUCGAUUGGGGGGGGGGGGGAAUACGGGCAAAUCAAAGUGCUUGAGCCUCGGGCGUACGGAGGGGCGCGCGAUGCAAAGGAGCUUGGAAACUUUUUGUUUGAGAUGGAGCAAUAUUUUCAAGCGAUAAAACUGGAUUCGGAGGAAAUAAAUGUGACCAUGGCUACAAGGUAUCUAAUUAAUGAUGCAAAACUGUGGUGUCGAUCCAAAUACGAAGAUAUCAAAAACAACAUAUGCAUCAUUGACACAUAGGAUCAAUUACAAAAGGAACUCAAAAAUCAAUUCAUUCCCGAGAACGUAGACUACAUUGCCCGUCGACAACUAAGAGAACUGAGACAAACUGGAAAUGUAAGGGAUUAUGUGAAAGCAUUCUCGGCCCUUAUGCUUGAUAUCCGUGACAUGUCAGAGAAGGAUAAACUCUUUUAUUUCCUGGAAGGUUUGAAACCUUGGGCCAGGACCGAGCUCCAACGCAAAGGGUGAAAGAUCUAGCCUCAGCUCUAGGGGCAGCAAAGCACCUAAUGCACUACUCAACAGAAAGCCCCAGCAAUAGAAGGCCUUAACCACCUUCCCCGAAUGACAAUAGUGGUAGGUUCUUUAGGCCUACCAAUCUCACAAGACUUGGGGGAGGUGACAACAAGAAAUCUUCGAGCACAAGAGACCUUUCACCGUAGAACCCUAAUGCAUUCGGGUUUAGACCCGGACCUAUGACAUGUUUCUUAUGUAAUGGUCCCCACAGAGUUGCCAAAUGCCCUCAUAGGACUACUCUUAAUGCUUUACAAGCAUCUAUUCGCUCCCAAGAGCAGGAGGGCGGGCGAGAAGAGGCAGUAAAAGAGCGAGAAGAUUGCGCCUAAGUGGGGGCGUUGAGAUUCUUGAAUGCCCUUAAUGGACAGGUCGUUCAGGCCAAGAAGACCAAUUAGAAAUGUCUUAUGUUCGUGGACGUAGCAAUAAAUGGGAAGGCUGCAAAGAGUGUGAUGGUGGACACGGGUGCCACCAAUAACUUUUGCUUAGAAAAUGAAGCUCGAAGGUUAAGCUUACGCUUGCAAGGGGAUGCAGGGUAAAUGAAAGCGGUAAACUCCAAAGCCUUACCUACGGUGGGCCUAGCGAAGCAAGUGCCUCUCAAGUUAGGAACUUGGGAGGACCGGGUGGAUUUGAUUGUAGUACCAAUGGAUGACUUUGAUGUCAUCUUGGGACUGGACUUCCUAGUGAAGAAGAAGGCAAUCCCAACUCUCGCCGCUAACAGCCUGUUGAUGAUGGGGGAACAAACAUGAGUAGUUCCCGUACAGAGGAAGCAAUUGAAUAACUCCAAAUUUCUAUCGGCUCUCUAAUUCAAGAAAGAGGUGAGACGCAAAAAACCCUCUUACAUAGCAUUGGUGAUGGCAAAUGAGGGUGAAGAUGAUGAAACAACCCCAUCUAUGUUGCUAGAUGCCUUGAAACCUUUUGAAGAUGUGAUGCCAGACAACUUACCGAAGAACCUACCUCCUCGAGAUAUCUACCAUAAAAUCAAACUAAUACUGGGAGCAAAACCUCCAGCAAAAGCGCCCUAUCCAAUGGCCCCGCCUGAGCUGACAGAACUACGGAAGCAACUCAUGGAGCUUUUGGAAGCAGGGUUCCUAAGACCCUCGAAGGCACUUUAUGGCACUCCAAUAUUAUUCCAAAAGAAGAAAGAUGGAAAUUUGCACCUAUGCGUAGAUUACUGAGCACUGAACAAGGUCACGGUGCGAAACAAAUACCCGAUCCCUUUAAUAGCCGACUUGUUCGACCAGCUAAGUGGAACCAAAUUCUUCACCAAAUUCGAUUUGAGAUCAGGGUACUACCAGGUGAGGAUUGCUGAGGGAGACAAAGAGAAAACCACCUGCCUCACGUGGUAUGGAGCUUUCGAAUUCCUAGUGAUGCCUUUUAGGUUGAAGAAUGCACCGGUAACAUUUUGCACUUUUAUGAAGCAGGUAUUCCGAGACUUCCUUGACAAAUUUAUGGUGGUGUACCUAGAUGACCUUGUAAUCUUUAGCCCUACCUUGGAAGAACAUGUUGAACACAUUUUAAUGGUAUUUAAGAGACUUCGAGAAAAUCAAUUAUUUGUGAAGAAUGAAAAAUGUGCAUUUGGCAAGAGACGAAUUAAAUUUAUAGGACAUAUCAUCGAGGAGGGGAAGAUCCGUAUAGACAUGGAGAAGGUAAAAGCCAUCCAAGAAUGAAAAACUCCCUCUAAUGUGAAAGAACUUAGAUCAUUUCUGGGAUUGGAAAAUUACUAUCGUCGCUUCGUCAAAGGGUACUCAAAGAAAGCAACUCCCUUAACAGAAUUGCUAAAGAAGGAUGUGCCUUGGGAGUGGAAGAAGGAAUGCAAGGGCGCAUUUAAGAGUCUAAAAGAAGCUAUGAUGAAUGACCCGGUACUGACCCUUCUAGACAUCAUAAAACCCUUUGAAGUCCAAACCAAUGCAUCUGACUUCGCUUUAGGUGGAGUCCUACUACAAGAUGGUCAUCCUGUCGCCUACGAAAGCAGGAAGUUAUCAGUGGCCGAAAGAAACUACAAGGCUCAAGAAAAGGAGAUGCUUGCCGCGAUGCAUUGUCUAAGAACUUGGAGAUACUAUUUAUUGGUGUCAAGUUUUGUAGUAAAGAUUGCUAACUCAGUUGUCAGUCACUUUCUCACACAACCAAAACUAACCCCAAAACAAGCUCUUUGGCAGGAAUUCAUUGCGGAAUUUGACCUUCAUUUCGAGCACAAAGGAGGGGUAAAAAACCAGGCGACAGAUGCCCUAAGUCGUAAGAUGGAGCUCGCGGCAUUAAGGGUGUUGGCCAACAUGGCUGCGAGUACUAUCACGACUACGAUGCGAGAACUGAUAAAGCAGCAUCGAGGGGGAGCAAUGUGCACAGAAUAUCCUCAAACUGUGCAAGGAGGGAAAAACCUGUUAAUUUUGGGAGGAGGAUGGCUUGCUGUGGACAAAAGGAAAUAGGUUAUUUGUUCCAAAGAUCGGAGACCUAAGUAAUAUGUUAAUGCGAGAAUGCCAUGACACGCUGUGGGCUGAACAUCUGGGGUGGCAAAGGACAUAUGCCUUAAUCAAACAGGGAUACUAUUGGCCAUAGAUGCGCGAUGAUAUUAUGGAUUACAUCCGAACCUGUCUUGUGUGCCAGCAGGACAAAGUUGAGAGGCAGAAACCACCAAGGUUGCUGGAACCUCUAUUCAUCCUGACCCACCCAUGGUAGAGCGUGUCGAUCGAUUUCAUCACCGAUCUUCCAAACAUAGGAGAUCUCUCGAAUAUUUUGGUUAUUAUGGAUUGAUUCUCAAAAUAUGCAACCUUCAUCCCAGUCUAGAAAUAUUGUACGGCCAAGGAGACUGCUCAGUUAUUCUUCAAAUUUAUGGUGAAGUAUUGGGGUGUGCCCCGACACAUUAUCAGCGAUAGAGAUGCAAAGUUUAUAGGGUCUUUCUGGGUGGAACUAUUCAAACUUUUUGGGUCCCAACUUAACAUCUCCUCCAGUUAUCAUCCGUAAACGGUAGGGCAGACGGAAGGAUUCAACAGCAUGUUGGAGGAAUACCUACGACAUUUUUUUAGUGCAAACCAGAAGAAUUGGGUGCAACUCCUUGAUGUAGCUCAAUUUUGUUUCAACGCCCAAAAAGGAUCUCCCACGAGUAAGUGCCCAUUUGAAAUAGUUAAUGGCCAGAGGCCCUUACUUCCACACACAGUCGAUGAGUAUCAAGGCAAGAACCCAAGGGCUUCCAACUUCACUAAGGAGUGGAAGAACAACAUGGAGAUAGUCAGGCCUACUUGGAGAAGGCGGCAAAUCGAAUGAAAAAAUGGGUAGACAAAGAACAGAGACUCUUGGAGUUCAAUGUGGGAGAUAUGGUGAUGGUCAACCUAACGCGAGAGCAAUUUCGCUAGCUGAGGGAUAGAGAACCCAGAUUGAUGAAAAAGUAUGAGGGACCAAUGCCGAUUAUUGCCAAAGUAGGGAGGGCGUCAUAUAAUGUGGUUACCCUAGGAUGGAUGAGAGUGCAUCCAGUGUUCCACGUUAGCAAUCUUAAGCCAUACUACGCAGACAAGAAGGAUCCAACGUGCAACAUUCCACCAAAAGCCGAAGUCAAAACCAAACUGCCGAAGACAACGAAGGAAGUGGAGGAGAUCCUUGCAGAAAGAACCAGACACAUGCAUCGAUAGCCAGUACGAGAAUACCUCAUCAAGUGGAAGGGGCUAGGAGAAGAAGAAACAAGUUGGGAGAAGGAAGUCAACUUGGCACCCUACAAGCAGCAAAUCAAGGAGUUCAAAGCAGUUGAGUCGUCGACGGCAUCGAUAAAAUGACCGGGGGAGGAUGUAAGAGUCACACAUAUACCUCUGCAUUUUAAUUGUAAAUACCAAGCUAAGUUCAUCCAGAGUCAUUAGUCAAGCCCAUGGUCGCUUGGAUUUCUAGCUUUUGUUAUACGAAAUAGUGCCAUUAUAAUUCCUCGCAUAUUUCGGUGUAUAUUCCUGUCAGAAUCAAAAUGACUAAAUAAGCUCUUUAUAAGGGGGUGGCUAGCUGGCGAGUUGUUGGGCUAGACCACUAGCAUAGGUGAGAACUUUUAAUAGCAUGCUUGUAAACCUCUCUGCUGUUCUCUCCAUCGAGACCGAAUAAAACAAAUGCAUUUCCAUUCAAUUGUGUUGUUGCCUUGUUUGCUUUCCCUUUUUCUAAUGAUUGUGACUACAUAUUGUAAUGCUUGCUUGGUGCUUGCACAAUACUAAUAUCGUGUGGGUUAUUUCCUUGCGAGGGACAUUAACGGUUGGCUUACUAACCGCGAGGGGUGAGUAAGCACCACACGGCCCCGUUGCAUACCUAGAAUGGUGGGACCGUGACACUUGGCAUGGUGGAAAUGCAGCACUCUCAGUUUUAAUGAUGGCAGUAAGCACUUUAGCAGCUGCAAAUGUGUGUGAUUGCUAAUGUUUGUCCAGAUACUGUUGAUGAAGCUUUUGCUCUAAUCCCAUCCUUGAAGGUCCGUAUUGAAGUCUAUCAAAAUGGAAUCAAAUUACUUUGUUGCUUUCACAUUAUAUAAUUAAGACAACAACGAUAGCAUCUUAAAAUGGUAUGUAUGUUUUCGAUUGAACAGCAGAAGAUAGGCUUUUUCACAAAUCAUAGCCUAGCAAAGUACUGGAUACCUAUCUUAAUAUGCUCUGCAAAAUCUUCUAGUAUAUUUCAUUUUCCUCCAUCUCCAUCAGCUGCUUGUUGAUUGUUGACAUUUUUUA